UGCAAUGAGUGAAUGGGGGAUGAGAGCCCAGGUAAUAUUAGGGCUCUUGUAUAUGAUGUUUAUCAUAAGCCAAGCUCCCCAAUUCCCUAAUGUUAGUUUCUGCACUGGUAAUGAACUGAGCCAGUUCUGGAAUGAAGACUUGAUGUUGUUCGUUUGGUAAAUACCAACUUUAGUCAUCUCUUGUUGUAUACAAGACUGUAAAUGUCCAAUCCGAAUAAUGUCGAGACAAGGAGGGCUAUAUAUGGCCACCUGAGUCAUUAUAUAUUCGGAUGUCCUGCAGCAGUAACAAUUUGGUGGCGGAACAGUCGUUCCCAAGUGGCUACUUUUCAUGAUUUUCUCUGAUAUGUCAUGGAGUAAUUGAAUUUUGUCUUCCGUUUACUCAUUGGAGAAGUGAUUCAUACAAUUUUUUAUCAAGGGCUUUUUGGUGCCCUCAUUUCUGCCAUACUUUGUAACUAGUAUUUAA
rnacentral:misc_RNA from 1 species